rnacentral:lncRNA from 1 species
UGGAAAUUGGAACAUGGAGCUACCCAAAGGUCAAGAGUUAGAAAAGGUCACCGUCAAGUUCCAAAGGAAGCCCUUCAUUGCCAUUUAAAAUAAUUGUCUUAUAAAGUCCUAAGAAGGAAAAACUAUGAUAGAAAAGGAAUAGUCUUCACACAAGUCAACUGCAACUGGCCUCUGAG